AAAAAAAUGUCCCACGUGUGGCCGAGUGCCACACCCAGGCAGCUGCCGAAAAAAAGCACCAGACACCAUGCAGCUGGGCCCCAGGGCCCGGCCCAACCCGGUUGGCCUUCUCCGGCACCUGCAGGGAACUUGUCCUGUCUUGUCUCUGCUCGCCCCCUGCUGGCUGCCUGGAGCCAUUCCGUGCUGGUUUCUUCGCGUCUUCUGUCAGGAGAGAGAUGCUGAUGCUUACUCAGGGAUCCGGCGGGAUGGGUCUCAUCUGCUGCUUGCACCGAGGCUCCAGCGACAUUUUUACUCAUGGUCAACUGCGUCCCCUGCCAACUGCCCUUCGAAGGACAGGCGCCACAUCCACCUGCCAGGCCUGCAGCAUUAGCACCAGCUCCACUAGGGCCACAGAUGCCCCCUCCUCUGUGUCCAGCCCCUGCAAAUGCACCAAGUGCCUUAGACCAUGGCUCCCCACCUAGGCGGGGACCCUCAGCCCCCUCCCCUCCAUUUCUGAGCCCUCACAGCCAGAGCCUUGGCAGGAGAAGGACCCUCACCAGGCACGGGGGUGCCGGGGACCACAGGAGGGUGAUAUUUGGGCCCUCUGCUCCCUCCCAGCUCCCAAACCUGGGACAAGGCUGAAAACCCGGGUCCCCUGGGAUGCCUGCAUUCUGGGCAGGAUCCCCACCAGUGCUCAGAAGCCCUCGCUUUGCUGUCCCCUCUGGGAAAUGCAUGGGGUGGGACAGGUAGGAGUGGCUCUUCCCCUAGAUGACCUAGCUAGCCCUUCAACCUGCCUACUCCCCACACUGCCUCACCUGGAAAGCCGUGUCCUGCUGGCCUCACUCCUUCCUGCAGGGCCUGGAGGUGGGGAGGCCAGAGGCAGGGCAGUCACAGGCUGGGUGGAGCUGCCAGGGCAGGGAUGUGGGGUAUGCUGGCCACACUAGCACAUGCUGCACCAGGAGCAGAGCCCUGCACCCUGCCUAGUGGCUUUCCCAAGAGAAACCCCUCUGGGAGACCCUGGCUCCAAGCCCCGGCCUCUAUAGUAAUAUGCCCCUCGGGGAUCUCCUGGUCUGGGGCCUGAUUCUCAGGAAUGCCAGUGGGUUUUUUGUUUUUGUUUUUGAGGCAGGGUCUUGCUCUGUCAUCCAGGCUGGAGGGUAGUGGCGUGACCAGGGCUCACUGCAGCCUUGACCUCCCAGGCUCAAGCGAUCCUCCCAGCUCAGCCUGCUGACCAGCUGGGAUGAUAGGCAGGCACCACCACACCUGGCUAAUUUUUUAAACUUUUUGUAGAGAUGGGGUCUCCCUAUGUUGCCCAGGCUGGCCUCAAAUUCCUGGGCUCAAGCCAUCCUCCCACCCUGGCCUCCUAUAGUACUGGGGUUACAGAUGUGAGCCACUUCGCCCAGCUGAGGCAUGCCUGGUUUCAAAACUAUCUUCAGCUCUUAAUGUUGGUGGGUGUAAAACUCAUCCCAGCGUGGACUAAAUCACAGGCCCUGCAGAGUUGGAGGGCUGAGAAGGGGCAGCUCUGAAUACAGGGGAUCUGCCCGAACCUCACUUUUCCUGGGGCCCCUCUCCCCAACCCUGGGGCCACCACCGUGUUGCUUCCAGAGGGUCUCGCUCUCCUUCCCUUUUUCCGCCCGUCCCAGGCUGGAUAGAGUCCCUUCCUUUGGUCCUGUCUUGCAUCUGUCUUGAAUUAGGCAGGGAGUUUUCAGGAAGAACUUUCCCAAAUACUAAGGGAGAACAGAGAGGAAAUCCUAUGAAAUACAGAGUAUUCAUGCUGGCAGUCUCAUGAAGGGUAGGUAUCAACUUUUGCGACAACCAUAGGUACCCCCCUAAAUGGCUAUUACAAGUGGGCACCUUGAGCAUAACACGGGAACCCCACGCCUGGCCUCCAUACCUCCCAGGUCCUGCACUUCUCCCCAGAGGUGGGCCCUCUUCCCCCUAAAGCACAGCGCCUUGUGAUGCGAAGGCCGAGGCUGGGAGAGGUCACACCUGGUCUCUCCACAUGUUCCAGCUCCCAGCCUGCUGAGCACAGCCCUUGCUGACCUGGGCUGGCCCUGAGGAGGGGUGUGCUUGCUCCCGUACACAGGAGUGACCUGAAGGCCCCUCACUGUGGUCACAAACACAGCCCUAAACUGUCCAGAAACUGUAUCCUCAGAGCGGGAAGUGCCCACGUGGACAGAGAGAAAGCCAGCCUCUCGGGGCAGAUUGCCGCCUCUACUGUGAGGAUUCUCCAGGGGCUACCGAGAGGCUGGGCUGGUUUAUCUCCUCUGCCUAGAAAGGCCUGGGGUGGCCAAUGUGAACUCAUUAAAAGGAAAACCAGCUUUCCC
rnacentral:lncRNA from 1 species